CGCAGCCGCGGUAAUUCCAGCUCCAAUAGCGUAUAUUAAAGUUGUUGCAGUUAAAAGCUCGUAGUUGAAUUUCGGGGUUAGUAGGUUGGUCAUGCCUCUGGUAUGUACUGGUCUCACUGAUUCCUCCUCCUGAUGAACCUUAAUGCCAUUAAUUUGGUGUUUUGGGGAAUUUGGACUGUUACUUUGAAAAAAUUAGAGUGUUUAAAGCAAGCUAACGCUUGAAUACAUUAGCAUGGAAUAAUGAAAUAGGACGUUCGAUCCUAUUUUGUUGGUUUCUAGGAUUGACGUAAUGAUUAAUAGGGAUAGUUGGGGGCAUUAGUAUUCAAUUGUCAGAGGUGAAAUUCUUGGAUUUAUUGAAGACUAACUACUGCGAAAGCAUUUGCCAAGGAUGUUUUCAUUAAUCAAGAACGAAAGUUAGGGGAUCGAAGACGAUCAGAUACCGUCGUAGUCUUAACCAUAAACUAUGCCGACUAGGGAUCGGAUGAUGUUAAUUUUUUAAUGACUCAUUCGGCGCCUUACG
rnacentral:rRNA from 1 species